UGGCAGCUCAGCCUCGCUCCUCUCUCUUCUCCUCAGGCAUUUUUUGGAGAGUUUUCCCAUGAGGGAAGUGCUUCAGAGGGGAAACAUGUCAGGUGUGCAUCCUGACACGGCUCCCCUGACUUCUGUGAGCUGCUCUAGCAAACGAAUCAAACCCACGAAGCCGGAUGUUGGAACUCCAAUCUAUAGCCAGUGGGCCAGACACACAGACCAUCAUUCAGACGGUGCAGAAGAAUGAUCCAACACAGCCUGUCUCUGUCUC